AGGUGUCAAAAGGGGAGGGUACAGGGAUUGGGGAUUUAGCUCAGUGGUAGAGCGCUUGCCUAGCAAGCGCAAGGCCUUGGGUUUGGUCCCCAGCUCCGAAAAGAAAAAAAAAGAAAAAAAAAAAGAAAAAAAGAGGGGAGGGUAUAGUGGCCUCACUGUCACUGCUCUAGUCUAGGCUAUAGAAUUCGAUGUAAAGCCAAUAGUCUGGUUCCCUAAAACUUGUAGGCUCAGCGAACAAUGGGAUAUGACUGGGAUCCAUAUCACCAAAAUGCACAGCUUCCUGAGAACACUGGGGAGGUGUUUUAUAACCUGAAGCUGGGAUGGAGGUCAGGAGAAAGGAGGUCAGGGUCAUCCUCUUCCAUGUGGUGGCUCCUCCUGCCAGGGCUUUGACUCCACUUUGGCAAGUAGAUGGGAGCACGUCUUCCAGCCUUGGGGCUGCACCCCAGUGCCAGGUCCCAGGAUAGAGAGUUACCUUGGUUCUCUACUCAGAUCUCUCAGGUCUGUCAGCUGUGCCAGCAGUCCCCUAGGCUCUUCUCCAACCAUGCCGCCCAGUUGCACACACUGCUGGGCCUGUAUUGUGUCUCCGUGAACUGCAUGGACAAUGCUGAAGCCCAGUUUACCACAGCCCUUCGGCUCACCAACCACCAGGAGUUGUGGGCCUUCAUCGUGACUAACCUUGCGA
rnacentral:lncRNA from 1 species